AUACUUACCUGGCAAGGGAGAUACCACAACCAUAAAGGUGGUUUUCACAGGGUGAGGCUUAUCCAUUGCACUCCAGAUAUGAUUUCCCCAAAUGUGGGUAACUGCAUAAUUUGUGAUAGUGGGGGACUAGACUCAUGCUUUCUCCUA
ensembl:snRNA U1 U1 spliceosomal RNA